UCUGUAUGUUUUCAUGGUAUCAGAGCCGGUACAAUGAUCCGGUGACGUUGUUUUGUGAAUCAAUAGUUCAUUCGAACUAUUUUCUGAUCAAAAUUUGGUUUUUUUUUGAGAUCGAAAAGAUCGAUGAUGUUUUCAACCCUAUUAGGGUUCUUCGGAGCCUCUAUCUUCACGAUCUACGUUUGUUCCUUCUGUACUGAACGGUUCAAUCGUUUAUUGUGA
rnacentral:lncRNA from 1 species